AUUGGUAACUUACAGACUUCUGAGAGAUUGCACCAUGACUGAAGGUGACUGAGUCUUGUCCCUGCUAAGAGAAACUGAACUUAUCUGCACAACGGAUGCAAAGGCCAUAUAAUUCUUUGAGACAUUGUGUCCUCUAUCAGCUGAGAAGACUGAAGGAGAUAAUAUCCUAACAGCAACAAACACAUCGAGUGUCCAGAUCUUAGUUUCUUAGAGAUCCUGAAGGGAGAGUUGAUUGUAGCAUAGGAAACAUACAAUAAAAGCUUAAAGCACCUUAUAAAAAAUAAAGAAAGCAUAUUGUCAGAAUAUAUUGCACUAAAAGUAAUCACUAGUAUUUAAAAAAGGGGUGGGGCUGGGAAGGUGGCUCAGUGGUAGAGCGCUUGCCUCCCAUGCAUGAGGCCCUGGGUUUGA